CUAACACCGAGAGGUGAUGAGAGACGGAAGGUUCUGCCGGAAGUCGAACUGAGUAAUUCCAUGCUUCCAAGAAAAGCCGCGAGUCGAGCAGACAGGCCGUCCGUACCGUAAACCGACACAGGUAGGCAGGGAGAGCAUCCCAAGGCGCUUGAGAGAACUACGGUUAAGGAACUAGGCAAAUUGGCACCGUAACUUCGGGAGAAGGUGUGCCUCUGGAGGUGAUGGACUUCGCGUCCUGAGCGUCCGGGGGUCGCAGUGACCAGGGGGUAGCGACUGUUUACUAAAAACAUAGGUCUGUGCGAAGUCGCAAGACGACGUAUACGGACUGACGCCUCCCCGGUGCCGGAAGGUUAAGAGGAGGGGUCAGCCUUCGGGCGAAGCUCUGAAUCGAAGCCCCGGUAAACGGCGGCCGUAACAAUAACGGUCUUAAGGUAGCGAAAUUCCUUGUCGGGUAAGUUCCGACCUGCACGAAUGGCGUAACGACUUCCCCACUGUCUCAACCGUAGACUCAGCGAAAUUGAAUUCUCGGUGAAGAUGCCGAGUACCCGCGACAGGACGGAAAGACCCCGUGAACCUUUACUAUAGCUUGGCAGUGGUAUUCGGGUUAGUCUGUGUAGGAUAGGUGGGAGGCUGAGAAGUCGGAGCGCCAGCUUCGGUGGAGCCAUCCUUGAAAUACCACCCUGGCUAGCCUGGAUGCCUAACCUCGGUCCGUGAAGCCGGGCCAGGGACACUGUCUGGUGGGUAGUUUGACUGGGGCGGUCGCCUCCCAAAAAGUAACGGAGGCGCGCAAAGGUUCCCUCAGGCUGAUUGGAAACCAGCCGCAGAGUGCAAAGGCAGAAGGGAGCUUGACUGCGAGACCGACAGGUCGAGCAGUUGCGAAAGCAGGUCUUAGUGAUCCGGCGAUUCUGAGUGGAAGGGUCGUCGCUCAACGGAUAAAAGGUACUCCGGGGAUAACAGGCUUAUCUCCCCCAAGAGUUCACAUCGACGGGGAGGUUUGGCACCUCGAUGUCGGCUCAUCGCAUCCUGGGGCUGGAGCAGGUCCCAAGGGUUUGGCUGUUCGCCAAUUAAAGCGGUACGCGAGCUGGGUUUAGAACGCCGUGAGACAGUUCGGUCCCUAUCCGUCGCGGGCGCAGGAGUUUUGAGAGGAGCUGUCCCUAGUACGAGAGGACCGGGAUGGACUGACCGCUGGUGUUCCAGUUGUCUCGCCAGAGGCAUAGCUGGGUAGCUAAGUCGGGAACGGAUAACCGCUGAAAGCAUCUAAGCGGGAAGCCAACCUCAAGAUGAGAACUCCCGGGCUUUAUGCCCCUGAAGGCCCCUCGUAGACUACGAGGUCGAUAGGCAGGGUGUGUAAGCACAGCAAUGUGUUCAGCUAACCUGUACUAAUAGGCCGUGAGGCUUGACUCC
rnacentral:rRNA from 1 species